rnacentral:lncRNA from 1 species
CACACUAAAAACAACGCAGAGAAGCAGAAAGGCCGAGAAAGAAGAAAAAAAAGGAAAAGAAGAAGAAAGGAAGGGAAAGGAACGGAAACGAAGAAGUUGAUGACUUUUGCCAGUUUGGGUUCUUCAUUUUUUCAAAUUAUGCUUCUUUUAAAGAGGUAUGUAAAUUAAAUUUCUAAGGUUUAUGAACAAUUCAUUUACAUUCGAAGUUUACCAAGAAUUAGAUAUUAAUAAUAUGUAUUUGAGGUAUUAAGCAAGAGUGGAUCAAGGAAAUGUAUUAAGAAAGAUUGAUGUUGUAGAAAGUGAAACUUUGAAAAUGGGUUUAUGAAAUGGAUACCUAUUCUUUGUUGUUCUUGCGAUUAUAUGGUGUAAACCACUUAAUUUAAGGACAUGAGGUUUGAUUUCUCUAUUUUGAACAAUUGUAAGCUAUUUUUAAGCAAUUUUAAUACACAGGUGCUGAUUUUGUAAUUUUUCCCAGAAAAGUGUCAUUUCUGUCGAUUGCUUUGGUGAUAAUUUUUAGUGUACAGAAACUGGUUUUACAGUUCCAUAUUCUGGAAUUUUAUUGUUGUUUUUAUCUAACCUUUGAUUUUCACAUUUUAAAGGCUUGAAUGAAGUUAUGUGACAAGUAUUGAAGUUUAUGUAGUAGACUAAAUUAUGUAUAGGGUUUGUAUAAGGUAUUGAUUUUAAGCAAGUGCAAGUGAUUUAAUGGAUUUGAUAAUGAGUGGUGAUUAGUUGAUAAAUCAUUAGAGAGAAGAAAAGUUGGGGAAUUGGAGAUGUAAAAGUAUAUAUAGAAAUUGAGAAGUUAAGAGGUGAAUUUGUAUUAAUUUAAUUGUCAGAUAUUAAUUUGAGGAAUUAUACUGUUGUUUCAGGUAAGGACGUGAAAGUUUGGAAAGACUCAUCAAUUAAAUCAAGUUUUCAUACAUAAUUCUGUGAGUGGAAAAUCUAUGUUUUCAAAAAGAAGAUUUUCUUUUUUAUUUUAUAGAAGCACGUUAAUUACAUGAAAUACUUUAUUUUCGAGACUUAGUAAAUGAGCAUGAUUGUUUUGAAAUUAUCAUAAAAUAAUUGAUGUAAUUUUCUUACUCUAGUGCACUGAGGGGCUAUGAUUGUGUACUAGAGUCAUGAAUUUAACUCUUAUGCAUUAAGGGGCUACAACCGUGUGUAAGGGUAACUCUUAUCCACUGAAGGGCUACGGCCGUGGGUAAAGGUAUCUAUUAUACACUGAGGGGCUACAGCCGUGUAUAAAGGUGAUUAUAUUAUUUCCAUCUUGUAUACUGAGGAGCUACGGCCGUGUACUAGAGUUGUAUAUUUAACUCUUAUAUACUGAGGGGCUACAGUCGUGUGUAAGGGUAACUCUUAUCCACUGAGGGGAUACGGCCGUGGGUAAAAGCAUCUAUUAUACACUGAGGGGCUAUAGUCGUGUAUAAGAAUAAUUAUGUUAUUUCCAUCUUGUACGCUGAGGGGCUACGACGUGUACAGAUUAUUGAUCAAAUGAUUUAUGUGUAUAUGAGUUAUAGCUUUUAGAUCAUUAGUAGAUGUUUACCUGGGAUAUAUUUUGAUGUGAAUUUUAAGUGUAUAGGGGAUUAUUAACCUACAACUUACAUUUCCCCGUUUACUGUUCAGCUUAUGGAUUUCAAAUUAUAGAGUUCAGUUUAUUCAGUUUUAAGAAUAAAGCUUCCAGCUUAUAAUAUUGAGCAACAACAAUAUACCAUAGAUUUUCAUGAAAAUCAGGUUCUUUAUAUUCGCUAUAGUUUGCAAUUACAUAUCUAGAAUUAAGAACAAAGAAUUUUAUAACACAGUCAUGCUUAAUUUAAAAGUGUUGCUAGAUUUAAGCAUUUCUCAAAGAUUUAAUAGACUUUGAAUUUUUAGAAAAUAUGCAUAAAUGGAAAAGUACACUUAUUUUCAAUUUAUCCACUCACUGAGUUACAAGCUCAUAUUUUGUUACCCUUUUCCUUAUCAGAUAGCAAUCGAGUUGAACAGUAUUGGAGCCUAUGGAUCCACUGAAUUGAGCCACACGUCAUUAGUUGUAUGAUCUACUUUAUCAUAUUAGGUAGUACCUGUUUCUUGGGUUGCAUGUAAUUUAUGUUAGAAAAAGUUGUCAUGAAAUCACUAUAUGAUAUAUUUAGUACAUUUGAGGAUUGUUGAUAGUAAAGAAAGUAAAUAUCGAAUUGUCAGUAUUUUAUUUUGAAUAGUUUGAAUUUUUAGGCACUGG